rnacentral:lncRNA from 1 species
CAGGGGUGUCCCCAGAUGGUUGUGGAGAUGGAGACCUGGUUGGAGAAGACCCUCUGGAGAGGGGGGGAUUGGCAUAGGAAGUGAGGGCUGUUAUGGGCAGGGGGUGAAAGCCCAGCAGGGCCAGUGUGGGAGAACGUCACUUAGGAAGCUACCAGAAAGAUAUGCCAGACUCCUGCCAGGCCUUGUCACUGCAGAGCCCCUGGCAGGAGAGGGACAUUUGUGGACCCUGGAGGCUUGCGUGGGAUGGGCCUUAAUCCCCACUUUCUUCCCUGGAAGAUCACCUCUUUAAAGGCAGAGCAGUGGGCGCAGGUGCCAUGGCGGGAAGCAGGCCUUUCUGAAUUCUUAGCAGCGAUCUCCAGGGGCACUCUAACCUUGCAAGAAAGAGGCUGCCAGUCUUGCAUCAGAUGCAGAAACCAGGGCGCAGAGUAGGAGCUAGAGCAUCUUGGAUGGAGAAACCUCGGCAAAGACAAAGGCCCAUUGUCCCCCUUCCCCGGCCUUCUGCCAGCUCCCUCCCCAGUCACCGGAGGAGGCCAGCCCUG